rnacentral:rRNA from 1 species
GACGAACGCUGGCGGCGUGCUUAACACAUGCAAGUCGAGCGGAAAGGCCCUUUCGGGGGUACUCGAGCGGCGAACGGGUGAGUAACACGUGAGUAAUCUGCCCUUGGCUUUGGGAUAACCACCGGAAACGGUGGCUAAUACCGGAUAUGACGCGCCCCGGCAUCGGGGUGUGUGGAAAGUUUUUUCGGCCAGGGAUGUGCUCGCGGCCUAUCAGCUUGUUGGUGGGGUAAUGGCCUACCAAGGCUUCGACGGGGAGCCGGCCUGGGAGGGUGACCGGCCACACUGGGGCUUGGAAACGGCCCAGGCUCCUGCGGGAGGCAGCGGUGGAGAAUAUUGGACAAUGGGCGGAAGCCUGAUCCAGCAACGCCGCGUUAGGGAUGACGGCCUUCGGGUUGUAAACCUCUUUCAGUACCGACGAAGCGCCGAUGAUGGUGGUGACGGUAGGUACAGAAGAAGCACCGGCCAACUACGUGCCGGCCGCCGCAGUAA